rnacentral:rRNA from 1 species
GAUGAACGCUGGCGGCGUGCCUAAUACAUGCAAGUCGAGCGAACGGACGAGAAGCUUGCUUCUCUGAUGUUAGCGGCGGACGGGUGAGUAACACGUGGAUAACCUACCUAUAAGACUGGGAUAACUUCGGGAAACCGGAGCUAAUACCGGAUAAUAUUUUGAACCGCAUGGUUCAAAAGUGAAAGACGGUCUUGCUGUCACUUAUAGAUGGAUCCGCGCUGCUUUAGCUAGUUGGUAAGGUAACGGCUUACCAAGGCAACGAUGCCUAUCCGACCUGCGAGAGGGAUCGGCCACACGGGAAGUGAGACGCGGACCAGGCUCCUACGGUAGGCAGCAGUAGGGAAUCGUCCGCAGUGGUCGAAAGCAUGACGGAGCAACGCCGCGUGAGUGGUGAAGAUCUUCGGUGCGUAAAACUCUGUUAUGAGGGAAGAACAGAUUUGUAAGUAACUGUGCACAGCUUGACGGUACCGAAUCAGAAAGCCACGGCUAACUACGUG